GGCUCCAUGAAUUUUUGUUUAUUUCCUGUGACCUGUCUGUGACUUUUACUAAAAAUAACAGUGACUAAAUCUUAGCGUUAGUCAUGAUCUGUUGAGCAUUACUAUCCUGUUGAAUUAUGUGUUACCAUUGUAUCUGAAAUUAUGAAGUUUUGCUAUGGGUGUGUUACUGAAAUAUGUUGAGUCUGGGAGACGCCCAUAGCUGGCCUUUCAAUGGCAACAAAGCCAACGCCCUCAAGACAGAUUUACAACAGAACUAGCUGGCCAUCUGUUGAUGGCCCAUUAAGGAGAAUCCAUUCUCCCAGUGGGACCUUCCUGAUGCACAUAGACAAUGGGGAUUGCUUAACCCAGUGACUCAACAGGGGACAUAGAACAUGUGAUCCCUGACUUGUUUAAACAAUAUCUUUCCAUGCACAUGGAUUGGGAUGUAUAAAUUGGAGUCUGUGACAUCAGCCUUGGCCUCUCUCCUCCCUCACCUACUCUGAAGGCAACAAGAAUGUUUGGAAGAAAAGACGUUGAACUGAGGAGAUUCCAGGCUGAUCAAAGAAUUUAGCCCUUACCACCUGCAACAUCCAGUGGGGUGCUGAUACUGCUUUCAAAAUGGUGGCAGGGAGCAAGAUCAGGAGUUGCUGAGUGCUGCAAAAAGCAUCAGGAA